rnacentral:tRNA from 2 species
CGGGGCGUGGCGCAGCUUGGUAGCGCGCUUCGUUCGGGACGAAGAGGUCGCUGGUUCAAAUCCAGUCGCCCCGACCA